UCCCUGGUGGUGCAGUGGCUGGGACUCUGCACUCUCAAGGCAGGGGGCCUGGGUUCGAGUCCUAAUCAGGGAA
rnacentral:tRNA from 1 species